GCAAGUCGAGCGGCAGCGGGUCCUUCGGGAUGCCGGCGAGCGGCGGACGGGUGAGUAAUGCCUAGGAAUCUGCCUGGUAGUGGGGGAUAACGCGGGGAAACUCGCGCUAAUACCGCAUACGUCCUACGGGAGAAAGUGGGGGACCUUUUGGCCUCACGCUAUCAGAUGAGCCUAGGUCGGAUUAGCUAGUUGGUAGGGUAAAGGCCUACCAAGGCGACGAUCCGUAACUGGUCUGAGAGGAUGAUCAGUCACACUGGAACUGAGACACGGUCCAGACUCCUACGGGAGGCAGCAGUGGGGAAUAUUGGACAAUGGGCGAAAGCCUGAUCCAGCCAUGCCGCGUGUGUGAAGAAGGUCUUCGGAUUGUAAAGCACUUUAAGUUGGGAGGAAGGGCAGUAAGUUAAUACCUUGCUGUUUUGACGUUACCGACAGAAUAAGCACCGGCUAACUCUGUGCCAGCAGCCGCGGUAAUACAGAGGGUGCAAGCGUUAAUCGGAAUUACUGGGCGUAAAGCGCGCGUAGGUGGUUCAGCAAGUUGGAUGUGAAAUCCCCGGGCUCAACCUGGGAACUGCAUCCAAAACUACUGAGCUAGAGUACGGUAGAGGGUGGUGGAAUUUCCUGUGUAGCGGUGAAAUGCGUAGAUAUAGGAAGGAACACCAGUGGCGAAGGCGACCACCUGGACUGAUACUGACACUGAGGUGCGAAAGCGUGGGGAGCAAACAGGAUUAGAUACCCUGGUAGUCCACGCCGUAAACGAUGUCGACUAGCCGUUGGAAUCCUUGAGAUUUUAGUGGCGCAGCUAACGCAUUAAGUCGACCGCCUGGGGAGUACGGCCGCAAGGUUAAAACUCAAAUGAAUUGACGGGGGCCCGGCACAAGCGGUGGAGCAUGUGGGUUUAAUUCGAAGCAACGCGAAGAAUCUUUACCUGGUCUUGACAUUCUUGCGAAUCCUUUCAGAGAUGAGAGGGUGCCUUCGGGAACGCAGAGACAGGUGCUGCAUGGCCUGUUCGUCAGCUCGUGUCGUGAGAUGUUGGUUAAGUCCCGUAACGAGCGCAAUCCAUGGUCUUAGUUACCAGGCCACCUCGGGUGGGCACUUCUAAGGAGACUGGCCGG
rnacentral:rRNA from 1 species